UGAGGAAUAUUGCGCAAUGGACGAAAGUCUGACGCAGCCAUGCCGCGUGCAGGAUGACGGCGCUACGCGUUGUAAACUGCUUUUAUAUACCAAGAAACCUCAGGACGUGUCCUGAGCUGACGGUAGUAUAUGAAUAAGCACCGGCUAACUCCGUGCCAGCAGCCGCGGUAAUACGGAGGGUGCAAGCGUUAUCCGGAUUUAUUGGGUUUAAAGGGUCCGUAGGCGGAUGAUUAAGUCAGUGGUGAAAGCCCACAGCUCAACUGUGGAACUGCCAUUGAUACUGAUUGUCUUGAGUACGUUUGAUGUUGGCGGAAUAUGUCAUGUAGCGGUGAAAUGCUUAGAUAUGACAU
rnacentral:rRNA from 1 species